UCUAGCCUACGUCACAGCGUCACGUGCGCUUUUUACGGCCAACACGGAAACUGCAGUCGUGGUGCUUUCGAUUGUACUCGAAACUCAGGAAUUCUGCCUUCCGAGUAGGAAGAUGUAGGUAACUCCAGACUGCAGAUGAGCUGCAUAUGUGUUUAAUAGUAAUUUGUUUUUGUAGAGGGCUGGCAAAACAACCGUUUUCGAGGGCGUCGCCAUAUUGGAAUCCCGACUUGUCUGACGAGGCUAACCGGAGCGCCUUUUACUCGAGUGACACAAGAAGUCCUCGUGGGACAGAACCAGUGUGAAAACUACAGAAGGUGAUCUGAGCAGGAGGAGGCCAGGAAAGAUUACAUGUGUCCUUAAAACUGCCCAGCAGGCUGUUUUGAUGAUAGACGACUCACCUUGAUUGAGAUAGAAGUUGCUGAUGGUGACCAGGUGACCUGCAGCGAGGAAGAGGAGGAAAGUUUGUCCAGAAGCUUUUCCUGAGGAGUCAGCGUCUGUCUCUGCACUGGACGACAGAGACAGAAAGGUCACGACCUACUUCGCUUACUGAGGACCUCGGCGAGGACCGAGGACGUCGUGCUGCUGUCUGAGACGGAAACCGAAAUGAAAGCGACGCCCGACCUGAAACACAAAAACACAGCCACGAGUCGCCUCCGUCCUUCAGCGAAUUCCUGUUGUCCGGGCCGCCGUUGCGGUUCAGGAUGUCGUCGCUGUGCAGACGCUGCAGGCCGCCGAUUUCGUGCAGCUCGAAGUCCUGAGGGUCGUCGGGGAGGUAGAAGGCCCUCAGCGCCGCCUCCUGAAGGACAACACAGGUUUUUGGGAGGAAGCAGAGCCCUCACCACCACUUCCUCAUUCUUCGUGAUUGAGACCAGUCGGAAGAAACCGCGCUUCACUGCAUCGUCGCCAUCAAACACCUUGAGAUUCUGUUUACCUGUAGGUCACAGUAAA